rnacentral:rRNA from 1 species
AUUGAACGCUUGCUGGAUGCUUUACUCAUGCAAGUCGAACGAGUGGCGGACGGGUGAGUCAUAUAUCGUAACGUGCCCAGUAGCGGCGGAUACCUACUCGACAGAGUGGCUACUACCGCAUACCAUCGGAGUGGCCGAUAUCGGAUUGGCUCGUUGGUGGGGUAAAGGCUCCCCAAGGCAACGAUCCGUAGCUGGUUUGAGAGGACGUCCAGACACACAUGGACGGAGACACAACCCAGACUCCUACGGGAGGCAGCAGUGGGGAAUUUUGGACGAUGGGGGAAAGCAUGAUCAAGCCAUCCCGCGUGUAUGAGAAGGCCUUCGGGUUGUAAAGUACUGUUGGCAGAGAAGCGGUAUCUGCAGAAUAAGCAACGGCUAAGUACGUGCCAGCCGCCGCGGUAAUAC